rnacentral:lncRNA from 1 species
CACACCUUUGUCCAUUAUCUGAAUCCCUGAGCUACAGGACAAUGACACACGUUGUGAUGGUCACUCUUCAUGGUCAACUUGACUGGACUCAUAAUUACCUGGAAGACAUAAUCCUAGGAAUAUCUUUCUUUCCAGAGAUGCUUAACUGUGGAUAGAAGGCCCACCCUGAAUGUGGAUGAUACAGUCCAUGGCAUGAAUAAGAAGAGUGAAAGUUCUCAGGAAAGCCACCUGACCACUAGCGAUCAUCUCCCUCUUUUCCUUAUGUAGGGAGUUGUUGCUGCGUGCUCCUCCUUCCGUGAACUCUUCCAUGCCAUCUCUGCUGAUGGAUUGUGCCAGCCAUAGGACAAACCAAAUUAAUCUAUCUUGAUUUGAUUUCUGUCAAAGCAAUGACAAAAAUUAAUCUCACAAAUGAUAACAGGCAAGUCGACGUCUAGCCUGAAUCAUUAGGUCUUGGCUUCCUGUCUAAUUCCAUGGCCCUGGUGUAUUCUAAGGCAAAUAUAAGUACUCUCAACCUGACAGAGUCCAUUGAAAUGAUUGUGCUGUGGAGAGGAAGAGUUUUCAGGUUAAGCAGUAACUGAAAUGUGAAGUUAAAUGACAAACGAGAAGAGGAAACAGACAAAUACUUGUUGUAAAUACAAAUAAAAACAUCUUAAAAUA